CCUACGGGUGGCAGCAGUGGGGAAUAUUGCACAAUGGGGGAAACCCUGAUGCAGCGACGCCGCGUGAGCGAUGAAGUAUUUCGGUAUGGAAAGCUCUAUCAGCAGGGGAGAAAAUGACGGUACCUGACUAAGAAGCCCCGGCUAACUACGUGACAGCAGCCGCGGUAAUACGUAGGGGGCAAGCGUUAUCCGGAUUUACGGGGUGUAAAGGGAGCGUAGACGGCUGUGCAAGCCAGAUGUGAAAUGCAGGGGCUCCACCCCGGGACUGCAUUUGGAACUGUGUGGCUGGAGUGUCGGAGAGGCAGGCGGAAUUCCUAGUGUAGCGGUGAAAUGCGUAGAUAUUAGGAGGAACACCAGUGGCGAAGGCGGCCUGCUGGACGAUGACUGACGUUGAGGCUCGAAAGCGUGGGGAGCAAACAGGAUUAGAUACCCCUGUAGUC
rnacentral:rRNA from 1 species